rnacentral:lncRNA from 1 species
CACGAAGGUCACUGGGCACAGUGAGAACUUGGCUCCUCUGGGGGUUCUGAUGCCAAAGGCCUGGUCAGCUCCUGUCUCCAGCUCAGCAGCCUUCUCCCGGCCACAGUGACAGGCCUCUGGGACACCUAAGCAGUUCUGUGGCUUCAUUAUGCUCCCCUCCUGGAGUGACUCCCGAAUCCACCAAUUCCAGAGAACUUGCAUGUAGCAGGGCAAUUUAUUGAGACUUUAAUGGAGCAGAAUAACCGAUUCAGAAAUUACCUAUGUCUUGUUUUUCUCUGCAGCAGGCUCAACACAAAGGCACGAGAGGGCAGUGCUCUGAUAGCUUGGCCAGCAGGAAAGGCUGAGAGCCAUGUGUGAGGGCAGAAGGAGGAGGCACUAUGAGCCAGCCUGUACCGUGGUUCCAGGGACCGCUCGGUUUCCGCGCCUUCAUCUAGGACACGGACCGCUCUGGCCCCUUCCCACUGGGCUCAGCGCAGCCUCCAGCCAAACCUAUUCCAACCAAGUUUCCAGGAAGGCACAAUGCUGAGCAAGGGCAUGGUGGGACCUUAACAGAUGGCCUCGUUGUAGCCCAGAGAGAUUAGCUGAAGCAAGAAGCUUAGAAUAACAUCUUGAAGACCAGAUUCAAGAUCUUUUUUGCCCCAGAUCUAGCCCUGGCAGGUGGUGACAGAGACUCCAAAAAAACUAAAAUAGUCAUCUUUCAAGGUUAACAAGGAGCUACUCAGAAGCCUCAGCAUGACUGUCAAUAGCCAAUCAAAGGGAGCUGUCAGCUGCUCCCCUGAGGAAGGGUUUCAGUUAAUGAAGAGAGCAGGGCUGGGGUGGCUGCAUAUGGAGAAGAACCAGCUGUUUGAUAUCCUGCUUUGGAGCCCAAAGCUGAAGGUGAAGGAUGUGGGGUGCUGCAAUUCCCCCAAGCAGAACAGACCAGAAAGGGCCCAGUGGGAUGUCUGCAACCAGGGAAAACUUGCUACAAUCUGGGGCUCAUUCAGUGAAAUCCAUUGUCCUCUCCCCAAGAGAGGGGUACUCAAUUAAAUUUCUCCUGAGGUCUUUUUUCUCCCCCAGUGACCUUUUUCUUGAAAGAUUUUUCUUUUCUCAGAUACUGCAAGGUUAACUCAGAUGAAUAUUAUGGGAUCACAUUUAUGCAAUGUCCUUUACUGAACAUGCGCCUCAGUUUCCUUGUUUAUAAAAUGAAGGAGUGGGCAAAUACAAAAGGGUUGCAUAACACUCUGCCCCAAAAGAAUAUCAUGAGGGUUUUUUUUUUUAAGAGCUAUGGAAACUAAUUAAAAUUAAAAGAGUUUUCCUUCAGAUUCCCAAAUAAACUUCCUUCCUCAAGUGCAGUGUCAGAAGGGAAGAGGCUACUAUUUGGCUACGAUUGCUAACAGACAAUCUGCAGAGAAAGCAGAACCUCACAACUCCUUUUACUUUCAUCUUGUCAGCCAAGAAGACUGAUGUGUCUGGGAAGGUGGGGUAAACACAGGUAGGAAUGCACGGAAGCCCAUGAUGGGUGCAGAGAUAGUGAGAAUACCCCCAAACAAGCUCAAGUCUUCAGUCCUCAACAAAUUACUUCAAGACAGGUGGGACUGGGAACCACAAUCUCUAAUCUUGCAGAAAUAGUGUAAAAAAGAGGUGCCAAGUGCCUGGAGAUAACCACUUUUGUCCCAAUUUUCAAAGAGAGGUAAAAACUACGUUCUGGAAACUGGAGGCUGGUGAGCUUCAUAUUAACUCCCACAAAAUUCUCAACUGUUCUGUUAAAGAGACAACUGGAAGGAAAAUAUUUAGUAAGGAAAAUAAGAAUCAUCAGAAGCUGGCCUGAAUUCAUUAAUAUAAGUUUAUUUCAGGGAUAGUUCUGAUAUCACAUCAAGUUGGAAGAGAAAAGCAGGAUAAUUUGUAAAGUAUUUUUUAAUAAAGAUUUUGUUUGUUUACCUCUACCAGAAUAUAAGCUUCCUGAGGGCAGAAUUUUGGGGGAGGGAAGGAGUCUUUUGUUUACUGUUGCACCUACAAUAAUGUCCAACACAAAGAAGACAUCCAAUAUGCUUCUUUACAGGAAUCAAUACACAUGUAUAAUAAAAAGUUGGCAGGAGAUAGUAAAAUUUAAGUGAGCUCUCUGGUUGAUGUUGGGUUGCUUUCACUUUCUUCUUAAUUUAGGGAUUCUUUUCCUAUAUUUCUCAUUUUCUAUAAUUAGCAUAGGUUACUUUUAUAAUCACAAAAAUAAAAUAAUCUCUUCUUUGAAGGCUUACUCCUGAC